UACGAAGGGGCGAGCGUUGUUCGGAUUUACUGGGCGUAAAGGGCGCGCAGGCGGUCUUGAAAGUCAGGCGUGAAAGCCCCGGCUUAACCUGGGAAUUGCGCUUGAUACUCUGAGACUGGAGUACGGGAGAGGAGAGUGGAAUUCCAGUGUAGAGGUGAAAUUCGUAGAUAUUGGGAAGAACACCAGUGGCGAAGGCGGCUCUCUGGACCGUAACUGACGCUGAGGCGCGAAAGCGUGGGGAGCAAACAGG
rnacentral:rRNA from 1 species